UACGUAGGGGGGCGAGCGUUGUCCGGAUUCAUUGGGCGUAAAGCGCUUUAAGGCGGUUCGCUAAGUCGCGUGUGAAACCUCCAGGCUCAACCUGGAGACGCCACGCGAUACUGGCGUGACUAGAGUUCGGUAGGGGAUCACGGAAUUCCUGGUGUAGCGGUGAAAUGCGCAGAUAUCAGGAGGAACACCGAUGGCGAAGGCAGGAUCUCCUGGGCUGACACUGACGCUCAUGCAC
rnacentral:rRNA from 1 species